GAAUAUUUUUUUUUGCAUCACCUCAAAUAAUAAUUUUUUAAAAUCCUGAUUAAUCGCACUUUUGAAUUCGGAUUAAUCCGAAAUUCAUGACGAAUCACAGAUUAUUUCUCACUGUCAUAAUUUAAAAAAUGACCCUGAUAUUUUGUCACUUAUGCAAUUUUCUUUUUGUUAGAAUGUCAUACAUAAUUGAUUAUUUUCUCACAAGUUGAUAGAAGUUGUAUCAAAAAGUGUAUUUUUAUAGUGUCUACUGACGUUCGCAUUGACCUGAUCACUGACCGCAUAACAACCCGCACCGCCUUUCAGGUAUCCAUCCGCGAUAAAGGUUUUCAACAGACAUAAGUUUGCUUGAAUACUUGCACGUGGUUCACACUACCUGGUGGAAGGUAAUGUAAUGUAAAUAAUAAUGAUCAUUUAUGACAGGUUUUACGAUAAAAAGUUCAGCAACCAUCAUAAUAAACCGACUUGUGCUAUUGUACCUAAUGAUAUGUCCUGUAAGUGUAACGUUUUUUUCUUAAUGAAAAAAAGCACUCACUUUCGUUUCAUUGUGUCCCGGUUGGGCGGAUCUGAUUCAAUUUAAGCUCCGCAUGAGGAAGGACGCUGCGCCGGUACAGCAAACAAGCAUACCUAGAUGGCUUUUUUUUUUUUUUGGCUCGACUACUUAACUAACAGAGCAGGUGUUUGCUUCCGUAAAUUUGGGCAAAUAAGCACGUUUCCGGACGCUGACUGUCACAAGUUGAAAUGGCGUUUUAAAAAUAAAAAAAGGACAAGCGGUAGAAAAAAGGGUUGGAUGGAUGAAUUCAUCAACACCACACGACGCCUUUAAGGAUAUUUUGGCGCCACAAGCGAAUUGAGACAACUUUUGGCGCCACAACAAGAAUUGAGGCAACUUUUGGCGCCACAACAAGAAUUGAGGCAACUGUUGGCGCCACAACACGAAUUGAGACAACUUUUGGCACCACAACACGAAUCGAGCCAAGUUUUGGCGCCACAACACGAAUUGAGCCAACUUUUGGCGCCACAACACGAAUUGAGACAACUUUUGGCGCCACAACACCAAUUGAGUCUACUUUGGGCGCCACAACACGAAUCGAGCCAAGUUUUGGCGCCACAACAAGAAUUGAGACAACUGUUGGCGCCACAACACGAAUUGAGACAACUUUUGGCGCCACAACACCAAUUGAGUCUACUUUUGGCACCACAACACGAAUCGAGCCAAGUUUUGGCGCCACAACACCAAUUGAGAAAACUUCUGGCGCCACAUGAAUUGAGACAACUUUUGGCCCCACAACACGAAUUGAGACAACUUUUGGCGCCACAACACCAAUUGAGUCUACUUUUGGCGCCACAACACGAAUCGAGCCAAGUUUUGGCGCCACAACACGAAUUGAGCCAACUUUUGGCGCCACAACACGAAUCGAUCGAGCCAAGUUUUGGCGCCACAACACGAAUUGAGACAACUGUUGGCGCCACAACACGAAUUGAGAAAACUUUUGGCGCCACACAAAUUGAGAAAACUUUUGGCGCCACAACACGAAUCGAUCGAGCCAAGUUUUGGCGCCACAACACGAAUUGAGACAACUUUUGGCGCCACAACACGAAUUGAGACAACUUUUGGCGCCACAACACCAAUUGAGUCUACUUUUGGCGCCACAACACGAAUCGAGCCAAGUUUUGGCGCCACAACACGAAUUGAGAAAACUUCUGGCGCCACAUGAAUUGAGACAACUUUUGGCCCCACAACACGAAUUGAGACAACUGUUAGCGCCACAACACGAAUUGAGACAACUGUUGGCGCCACAACACCAAUUGAGUCUACUUUUGGCGCCCCAACACGAAUCGAGCCAAGUUUUGGCGCCACAACACGAAUUGAGCCAACUUUUGGCGCCACAACACGAAUCGAUCGAGCCAAGUUUUGGCGCCACAACAAGAAUUGAGACAACUGUUGGCGCCAUAACACGAAUUGAGACAACUUUUGGCGCCACAACACCAAUUGAGUCUACUUUUGGCGCCACAACACCAAUCGAGCCAAGUUUUGGCGCCACAACACCAAUUGAGAAAACUUCUGGCGCCACAUGAAUUGAGACAACUUUUGGCGCCACAACACGAAUUGAGAAAACUUUUGGCGCCACACAAAUUGAGAAAACUUUUGGCGCCACAACACGAAUCGAUCGAGCCAAGUUUUGGCGCCACAACACGAAUCGAGCCAACUUUUGGGACUGCUGCUGUCUUGAACUGGAACACGAAACCUCCCGUUCUCUGUGGAUGAUGUACAUCAUGGCGGCCAAUAAGGAUGCCCACACUGAAGUGAAACCUCCGUGGGUGCGUAAAAGACAAGAUACAGACAUUUCAAGGCCUGGGAAGAAGUGACGGCAGGGGAGAGAGGACACAAUAAGGUGGCGACUUGUCCAGGGUGUACACCACCUUCCAUCAGAAUGCAGCUGAGAUAGGCUCUACUGACUCUCCCCCUCCACCCUCCCGUGACUCCGAAAGGGACAAGCGGUAGAAAAUGGAUGGAUGGCUGGAUCUGUCCACAUUGAAUAAGAAGGUGCGUCCAAACUUUUGUCCUCUACUGUAUUUAUUUUGUGCCCGGAAUGACACCCAAAGCGCUUCACCCACUCCCACAAAGAUGCUGAACUUGAUGCUUACAAAAUACUCCGAGGUUAAACUUGGAACGAGGUAAAAUUCCCCAAAUAGUUUUAGUAGGACUUUGCAAAAAAAAAAGGAUGGAGUUAAUUAUUUAUUUCCUCCUGUGCAAAAAAUAUCAGAUGUUCCGUGCUUAAAGGUGGUUAAGAGAUGUCUUUUUUUUUGUUUUUUUUCCCAAUUGUUCAAAGAGAAAACUAAAAGCGUUGUCAGGUCACCUAAAAUGAUGUCCGGUUGAUGCGAAUUACAGUCAGCCCACGCUCUCUGAGAGCGUUUAAAAACGUCUCAUUCUGACAUGAUUCCUGUUCCCUUUCUCCCUUCCAUUCAUUUAGUGUCCGUGUCUCAAUCAGGCUGACGAGCCACAUGUCACGGGGUGUCUCCCGUCAUGGCAGCCCAUGAAUGUCUUUUCUCUGUCACUCGCUCCCCUCUAAGGACGCAGGUAUUACACCGCCCUGUUAAUGGCUUUGUCAGAUGGCCUUUUGGUAAGAGCCAGUCAUGAAGACGGACAGGGACUUGCCGCCGCUCCGUGCGUGUGCGCCCGCGUGUACACGUGUAGGUUUUCAGCCGCCAGAGCAGGAAAUAAAAGGCCAGCCGUGUAUCCGACCGUCAUGCAUCAGCAGAACUCGUAUGAGCGGUUUGUCCGCCAGAGGACGAAAAAAUACGCUCUAAUAUGUCCUUGGAUGUGGCCACCAUAUUGGAUUAUUUGCAGAAAUGUUGAAAUCUAUUAAGACUAAGGACACAACUCAGAUGGUGUCAGGUUCAAACACUAAACAGACAAUA